GCCGAUGUGACUCAAUUGGUAGAGUAACUGAUUUGUAAUCAGUCUGUUGCAGGUUCAAGUCCUGUCAUCGGCUCCA
rnacentral:tRNA from 1 species